rnacentral:lncRNA from 1 species
GUUUCGAAGGAUUUAUUAUAAUAAAUUUAAUGGUGCAAUCGGAAUUUAAUUUAGAUUUCCGGUUUAGGAGUUAUGACUUUUUUAAUUCGUUAAAAAUGUUUUUGCAUGCAUGAGUGAGUGGGUCCUACUUUGAUGGGAUAACCUGUCAUCCAUGCGCAGACCACAUAGAUAGGACGGGCGGAGUAAAAAAGACCACCGAAGAGGAUGAGAGUCAUGGCUUCACCACGGGUGUGGUAGACAGGUUCUCUUUGUAAUUUUUAGUUGUAGAGAAUAAGAUAAAUAUUAAUUAAUAAAAUUUUAUCUAAAUAUAUCCAUAUGUGAUCUUGUUUCGAAGGAUUUAUUAUAAGAAAUUUAAUGGUGCAAUCGAAAUUUAAUUUAGAUAUAUGGUUAGGAGUUAUGACUUUUUUUUAAUUUGUUAAAAAUGUUUAUGCAUACGUGGGUGAGUGGGUUCUACUUCGAUGGGAUAGCCUGUCAUCCAUGCGCAGACCACAUAGAUAGGACGGACGGAGUAAAAAAGACCAGAAGAAGAUGAGAGUCAUGGCUUCACCAUGGGUAUAGUAGACAUGUCCUCUUUGUAACUUUUAUUAGUUGUAGAGAUAAUAUUGAUGCAGGUUUAAGGACUCGUAUAUCUUUUUGCACGGGCCUCUCCUUUUUCCUUAACGCUGAUGAGCUCGGAUGGAUUUGAUAUUCGUUUUAGGAGCGAGUAGGACUCAUGUUUUUCUUGAGGGCAAUACUAUAAUACCCCCUUUAUCUAUAUCUAUACUUACUAAUAUUUUCUAUACCUAAUAAUAAUAAAAAGACAAAGUUUCUAUCUCUUUUAGAUUUUCGUCUAACUUAAUCACCAUGUUCGUGUUGUGUUCGCGUUCUUUUUUUCCUGUUUCCAUCUCUGUUUCUACUCCUGCUGCUUUCUAUUUUUCUCCUUCUACCCUUUGUAGGGGUUCUGUACGUGGGCGUACGUGUAGGUGAAAGUGGCACCCCCGCCCCGCAUGGUGAUUUUCCAUAACUUUUUUUGUUGUGUUGUUGUUUCCAUGUUUUUGUUUUUUGUUUUUAAUUUUCCGAUCAAGUAACUCUUCCCUAUAAAAAUAGAUAAAUAAUAAAUACAGUAUUAAGGUCUUUGAAAAUUUGAUCCUAACUUAAUAAAUAAAUAUUGCUAUUAUUAAGUUGUUAAUUUUAAAUAGAAAUAAAUUAUUAUUAUGACAUGGCUUAACUAAUUAGUAAACCGUAAGCAAAACUUGAGUAAUUUAUCAUUUAAUCUAAUCAAAACAAAUAUUUCUCCAAUCUGUCCUAACAAUGCAAAUAUCUAAAUUAUUUGUCUUUGAGUUCGCCGUCCCGAUCGCUCACGUGCUCCACGAGCUCGCCUCUGUAGCCACCUGGUUGUCCGCGAGUUCACCGUCCCAGUCGCUCGCGCGCUCCACGAGUUCACCUCCACUCCACAGUAGCCCUCUCGUCCCCUCCUGCAUCCGCCAAGUCACCACUUCGGGCACCAGCGACAGCGACUGCUGC